UAAGCAUAUCAAUAAGCGGAGGAAAAGAAACCAACAGGGAUUGCCCUAGUAACGGCGAGUGAAGCGGCAACAGCUCAAAUUUGAAAUCUGGCCCCAGGCCCGAGUUGUAAUUUGUAGAGGAUGCUUUUGGUGCGGUACUUUCCGAGUUCCCUGGAACGGGACGCCUUAGAGGGUGAGAGCCCCGUACGGUUGGAUACCUAGCCUCUGUAAAGCUCCUUCGACGAGUCGAGUAGUUUGGGAAUGCUGCUCAAAAUGGGAGGUAAAUUUCUUCUAAAGCUAAAUACCGGCCAGAGACCGAUAGCGCACAAGUAGAGUGAUCGAAAGAUGAAAAGCACUUUGAAAAGAGGGUUAAAUAGCACGUGAAAUUGUUGAAAGGGAAGGACUUAUGACCAGACUUUUUCUAGGCGGAUCAUCCGGUGUUCUCACCGGUGCACUUCGCCUAGUUAAGGCCAGCAUCGGUUUCCGUAGGGGGAUAAAAGCAGUAGGAAUGUGGCUCCCUCGGGAGUGUUAUAACCUAUUGUAUAAUACCUUUAUGGGGACCGAGGUUCGCGCUUCGGCAAGGAUGCUGGCAUAAUGGUCAUCAGUCACCCGUCUUGAAACACGGACCAAGGAGUCGAACAUUUAUGCGAGUGUUUGGGUGUUAAACCCUCACGCGUAAUGAAAGUGAACGGAGGUGAGAGCCGCAAGGUGCAUCAUCGACCGAUCCUGAAGUCUUCGGAUGGAUUUGAGUAAGAGCAUAACUGUUCGGACCCGAAAGAUGGUGAACUAUGCGUGGAUAGGGUGAAGCCAGAGGAAACUCUGGUGGAGGCUCGCAGCGGUUCUGACGUGCAAAUCGAUCGUCAAAUCUGCGCAUGGGGGCGAAAGACUAAUCGAACCAUCUAGUAGCUGGUUACCGCCGAA
rnacentral:rRNA from 1 species